GAUGAACGCUAGCUACAGGCUUAACACAUGCAAGUCGAGGGGCAGCAUAAACAUUGCUUGCAAUGUUUGAUGGCGACCGGCGCACGGGUGCGUAACGCGUAUGUAACCUACCUCAAACAGGGGCAUAACACUGAGAAAUUGGUACUAAUUCCCCAUAACACUCAUAAAGGCAUCUUUUUGAGUUGAAAUUCCGGCGGUUUGAGAUGGACAUGCGUUGUAUUAGCUAGUUGGUGAGGUAACGGCUCACCAAGGCGACGAUACAUAGGGGGACUGAGAGGUUAACCCCCCACAUUGGUAACCUGUAGACACGGACCAAACUCCUACGGGAGGCAGCAGUGAGGAA
rnacentral:rRNA from 1 species